AGUGAACGCUGGCGGUAGGCCUAACACAUGCAAGUCGAACGGCAGCUCAGUAAGAGCUUGCUCUUACGGGUGGCGAGUGGCGGACGGGUGAGGAAUACAUUGGAAUCUACUUUUUCGUGGGGGAUAACGUAGGGAAACUUACGCUAAUACCGCAUACGACCUACGGGUGAAAGCAGGGGAUCUUCGGACCUUGCGCGAUUGAAUGAGCCGAUGUCGGGUUAGCUAGUUGGCGGGGUAAAGGCCCACCAAGGCGACGAUCCGUAGCUGGUCUGAGCGGGUGAUCAGCGACUCUGUAGCUGAGACACGGUCCAGAAUCCUUCGCGAGGCUACAGUCGGGGAUAUUGGACAGCGGGAGCAAGCCUGAUCCGGCAAUACCGCGUGGGUGCAGAAGGCCUGCGGGUUUUAAAGCCCUUUUGUUGGGAGAGAAAAGCAGCAGGUUAAUACCCCGCUGUUCUGACGGUACCCAAAGAAUAAGCACCGGCUAACUUCGUG
rnacentral:rRNA from 1 species